GACGAACGCUGGCGGCGUGCUUAACACAUGCAAGUCGUACGGUAAGGCCCUUUCGGGGGUACACGAGUGGCGCACGGGUGAGUAACACGUGAGUAACCUGCCCACAACUUUGGGAUAACGCUAGGAAACUGGUGCUAAUACUGGAUAUGUGCUCCUGCUGCAUGGUGGGGGUUGGAAAGUUCCGGCGGUUGUGGAUGGACUCGCGGCCUAUCAGCUUGUUGGUGGGGUAGUGGCCUACCAAGGCGGCGACGGGUAGCCGGCCUGAGAGGGUGACCGGCCACAUUGGGACUGAGAUACGGCCCAGACGCCUACGGGAGGCAGCAGGGGGGAAUAUUGCACAAUGGGCGCAAGCCUGAUGCAGCAACGCCGCGGGCGGGAUGACGGCCUUCGGGUUGUAAACCGCUUUCAGCAGGGACGAAGCUUUUUGUGACGGUACCUGCAGAAGAAGCACCGGCUAACUACGUG
rnacentral:rRNA from 1 species